rnacentral:rRNA from 1 species
CCUACUGGUGGCAGCAGUGAGGAAUAUUGGUCAAUGGACGCAAGUCUGAACCAGCCAUGCCGCGUGCAGGAUGACGGCUCUAUGAGUUUUAAACUGCUUUUUUACGAGGGUAAACCCCGAUACGUGUAUCGGGUUGAAAGUAUCGUACGAAUAAGGAUCGGCCAACUCCGUGCCAGCAGCCGCGGUAAUACGGCGGAUCCGAUCGUUAUCCGGAUUUAUUGGGGUUAAAGGGUCCGUAGGCGGGUUGAUAAGUUAGAGGUGAAAUGUCGGGGCUCAACCCCGAUGCUGCAUUUGAUACUGUUAGACUAGAGAAUAGUUGCGGUAGGCGGAAUGUAUGGUGUAGCGGUGAAAUGCGUAGAGAUCAGAAGGAACA